GGAUUCUUUGGGAACUAGAAGACCGGCGCACGGGUGCGUAACGCGUAUGCAACUUGCCCUACUGAAAAGGAUAGCCCUUCGAAAGGAGGAUUAAUACUUUAUAACAGAUUUAAUGGCAUCAUUAGAUUUUGAAAGAUUUAUCGCAGUAGGAUAGGCAUGCGUAAGAUUAGUUAGUUGGUGAGGUAACGGCUCACCAAGACGAUGAUCUUUAGGGGGCCUGAGAGGGUGAACCCCCACACUGGUACUGAGACACGGACCAGACUCCUACGGGAGGCAGCAGUGAGGAAUAUUGGACAAUGGGUGGAAGCCUGAUCCAGCCAUCCCGCGUGUAGGAUGACGGCCUUAUGGGUUGUAAACUACUUUUAUCUGGGGAUAAACCUACUUACGUGUAAGUAGCUGAAGGUACCAGAAGAAUAAGCACCGGCUAACUCCGUGCCAGCAGCCGCGGUAAUACGGAGGGUGCAAGCGUUAUCCGGAUUUAUUGGGUUUAAAGGGUCCGUAGGCGGAUUAAUCAGUCAGUGGUGAAAUCUCAUAGCUUAACUAUGAAACUGCCAUUGAUACUGUUAGUCUUGAGUGAUGUUGAAGUUGCUGGAAUGUGUAGUGUAGCGGUGAAAUGCUUAGAUAUUACGCAGAACACCAAUUGCGAAGGCAGGUGACUAAACAUUAACUGACGCUGAUGGACGAAAGCGUGGGGAGCGAACAGGAUUAGAUACCCUGGUAGUCCACGCCGUAGACGAUGGAUACUUGCUGUUGGGCUGUCGGGUUCAGUGGCUAAGCGAAAGUUAUAAGUAUCCCACCUGGGGAGUACGUUCGCAAGAAUGAAACUCAAAGGAAUUGACGGGGGCCCGCACAAGCGGUGGAGCAUGUGGUUUAAUUCAAUGAUACGCGAGGAACCUUACCAAGGCUUAAAUGCAAUUUGACAGAUCUAGAAAUAGUUUUUUCUUCGGACAGACAGCAAGGUGCUGCAUGGGUAAACAACAACUACAAACCGUGAGGUGUUGGGUUAAGUCCCACAACCAAAG
rnacentral:rRNA from 1 species